GAGUUUGAUCCUGGCUCAGAACGAACGCUGGCGGCAUGCCUAAUACAUGCAAGUCGAACGCUCGUAGCAAUACGGGAGUGGCGGACGGGUGAGUAACGCGUGGGAACCUGCCCAGUGGUAGGGAAUAACCGCGGGAAACUGCGGCUAAUACCCUAUGAGCCCUACGGGGGAAAGAUUUAUCGCCAUUGGAGGGGCCCGCGUCGGAUUAGCUAGUUGGUGGGGUAACGGCCCACCAAGGCGACGAUCCGUAGCUGGUCUGAGAGGAUGAUCAGCCACACUGGGACUGAGACACGGCCCAGACUCCUACGGGAGGCAGCAGUGGGGAAUAUUGGACAAUGGGCGAAAGCCUGAUCCAGCAAUGCCGCGUGAGUGAUGAAGGCCUUAGGGUUGUAAAGCUCUUUUACCCGGGAUGAUAAUGACAGUACCGGGAGAAUAAGCCCCGGCUAACUCCGUGCCAGCCGCCGCCGUAAU
rnacentral:rRNA from 1 species